UACGGGGGGGGCAAGCGUUGUUCGGAAUUACUGGGCGUAAAGGGCGUGUAGGCGGUAUGUUAAGUCUGGCGUGAAAGCUCUCGGCUAAACCGGGAGAGGUCGUUGGAUACUGACACACUAGAGGAUGGUAGAGGCGUGUGGAAUUCCGGGUGUAGUGGUGAAAUGCGUAGAGAUCCGGAGGAACACCAGUGGCGAAGGCGACACGCUGGGCCAUACCUGACGCUAAAGCGCGACAGCAUGGGGAGCGAACAGG
rnacentral:rRNA from 1 species